rnacentral:rRNA from 1 species
UACGGGGGGGGUAAGCGUUGUGCGGAAUUACUGGGCGUAAAGGGCUCGUAGGCGGCCAACUAAGUCAGACGUGAAAUCCCUCAGCUUAACUGGGGAACUGCGUCUGAUACUGGAUGGCUUGGAUUCGGGAGAGGAAUGCGGAAUUCCAGGUGUAGCGGUGAAAUGCGUAGAGAUCGGCAGGAACACCAGUGGCGAAGGCGGCCACCUAGCCCGCACCUGACGCUGAGGCGCGACAGCGUGGGGAGCGAACUGG